rnacentral:rRNA from 1 species
AUUGAACGCUGGCGGCAGGCCUAACACAUGCAAGUCGAACGAGUGGCGGACGGGUGAGUAAUGUCUGGGAAACUGCCUGAUGGAGGGGGAUAACUACUGGAAACGGCAGCUAAUACCGCAUACCAUAGGAGGUGCCCAGAUGGGACUAGCUAGUAGGUGGGGUAAAGGCCUACCAAGGCGACGAUCCGUAACUGGUCUGAGGGGAUGACCCGUCACACGGGAACGGAGACACGGUCCAGACUCCUACGGGAGGCAGCAGUGGGGAAUAUUCGACAAUGGGCAAAAGCCUGAUCCAGUCAUGCCGCGUGUGUGAAGAAGGUCUUCGGAUUGUAAAGCACUUUAAGUUGGGAGGCGUUACCAACAGAAUAAGCACCGGCUAACUCCGUGCCAGCAGCCGCGGUAAUUC